rnacentral:rRNA from 1 species
ACUCAAAUGAAUUGACGGGAACCCGCACAAGCGGUGGAGCAUGUGGUUUAAUUCGACGGUAAGCGAGGAACCUUACCAGGGUUUGACAUACCUCUGCAAGCGCACGGAAACGUGUGAUCUUCGAGAGUGAGGAACAGGUGCUGCACGGUUGUCGUCAGCUCGUGUCGUGAGAUGUUCCCUUAAGUGGGAGAACGAGCGCAACCCUCAUGAUAUGUUGAUUUUCAUAUCAGACUGCCAGCGUUUAAGUUGGAGGAAGGCGAGGAUGACGUCAAAUCAGCGUGGCUCUUACGCCCUGGGCUACACACGUGCUACAAUGGAUAGGAACAAAGGGACGCAAUACCGUAAGGUGGAGCAAAUCCUCUCAAAAACUAUCCUCAGUUCGGAUUGAGGGCUGCAACUCGCCCUCAUGAAGCUGGAAUCGCUAGUAACCGUGAAUCAGCCUCGUCACGGUGAAUACGUUCUCGGGUUUUGUACACACCGCCCGU